AAGCUGCGAUAAGUAAUGUGAAUUGCAGAACUCAGUGAAUCAUCGAGUCUUUGAACGCACAUUGCGCCCCCUGGCACUCCGGGGGGCACGCCUGUCCGAGCGUCGUCCGACCACCCUUCAGGCCCCUUUGUCACCUGGCUUCCGGGUGCGCGACGGGGUCUGGCCUUGGGCCUACAUGCGCCCCCGCGUCGGGCGAGCCCGCAAGUCACCGACCGGUCGUCCCCGAGGGCCCCGAGCGCAGCGGCUGUCCCAUGCUCGAGGAGGUCCCCGCGGGACGCCCACCGGCGUACCCCCCGGCCCAGACGCACGUUUGACCUCGGAUCAGGCGGGGUUACCCGCUGAACUUAAGC
rnacentral:misc_RNA from 1 species